GAGGUCAGUCAUGUCUCCAAGUUCUCCUGGAGUAGUUUCUACUAUUUAAUAAGCAGGCCUAGGAAAGACUAUCCACCAUUACUGCGAUUUGUUGUCUGAAACAGUGAAUGAAGAUGGCAUCUCCCGCCUGUAUGAAGCUUUUCAAGAAGUGCCUUUGAAAUCUGACAGGACCAGAAGGUACAUCCUCAAUAGACAUUACAAAUGGUUGCAGAAACUUGGAAAUCUCGUGUCAGGUUCUGCAUUCGACUAGGGAACCAGGACCAACACAGAAGACCUCUUCAUCCUGCUAUGGUCCUUUUCUGCAGAACUGCUGCCUAGCCACUCAACAGGUGCACUUCUGAACUGUGGGUCUGCACUGACCAGGGACAACAACUAUGAGGUGGGAUGUUAAGGGUGGGGUAUACUACAGGAACUUUGGAGUUGGACUCAAGAA